AUUGAACGCUGGCGGCAGGCCUAACACAUGCAAGUCGAACGAGUGGCGGAAGGGUGAGUAAUGUCUGGGAAACUGCCUGAUGGGGGGGGAUAACUACUGGAAACGGUAGCUAAUACCGCAUACCAUAAGAUGUGCCCAGAUGGGAUGAGCUUGUUGGUGGGGUAACGACUCACCAAGGCGACGAUCCCGAGCUGGUCUGAGAGGAUGACCAGCAACACUGGAACUGAGACGCGGACCCGAGUCCUACGGGAGGCAGCAGUGGGGAACAUUGCAAAAUGGGCGCAAGCCUGAUGCAGCCCUGCAGCGUGUAUGAAGAAGGACUUGGGGUUGUGAAGUACUUUCAGCGGGGAGGCGUUACCCGCAGAAGAAGCACCGGCUAAGUCCGUGCCAGCAAGCGCGGUAAUAC
rnacentral:rRNA from 1 species